GGCUGGUCCAAAGGUAGUGAGUUAUCUCAAUCGAUUGUUCACAGUCAGUUUCCUUGUUCUGUUCUUUCCCCAGUUCUCACCACUGCACUUGACUAGUCUUAA
rnacentral:Y_RNA from 1 species